rnacentral:rRNA from 1 species
AGCCUAUAGAUAUUAUUAUAGGUACUGCCUGCUCAAUGCUGUAGUAAAUAGCCGCAGAACUUUAACUGUGCUAAGGUAGCAUAAUAAUUUGUCUUUUAAAUGAAGACUGUAUGAAUGGCUAUUUGGGAGAUUACUGUCUUAACUAAGUUCUUUAUAACUUCCUAAUAAGGUGAAAAUUCCUUGUUAAUAAAAAUAGACGAGAAGACCCUAAGAGUUUAAACUAAAAAUAUCUACUAUUAUUUAAAUUUUUGUUGGGGCAACAAGGGAGACACCCUCCAAAUAAAUUCACAAGAAAUUAUUUUGUAUGAAAUAAACUACCUUAGGGAUAACAGCACAAUCUGUUUUCAGGUUUGUGACCUCGAUGUUGGACUAGGAAAGGCUUUCUCCAGAAGAGAAAGCUUUAAGCUCUGUUCGAGCUAGAUUUCCU